rnacentral:lncRNA from 1 species
GUGACUGAAAGGAUUAUUUUCCCCACAAAUGCUUUGUUUCGACAGCCACCUGGAAGAGCAAAAAGUUGAACAGGCAUGGGAGAAAGGAAAAACUGGACAAGAGAAACCAGCUCUGUGCAGGAGACCGGGCUGCAGACAGAGCAAGGAGGAGUCAAGGUCAACCCUGGUGCUGCUGAUAGAAAGGAGGAUGAAUCUGGGAAAUACUGUCGUAACCUUCAACAAGUUUUACCGCUGGGCAAAAGUCAACGUGAGCAGGUUUCUCUCCGGGCACACUUCAUCCAGCAAUGCGGACACAAGGAACCGCAGAGCUCUCAGCAGCCCUUUUCUCCAGGACCCACACUUGGCUUUGGAAGCUGCCAGCCUGCCCGGCCACCACCUACUGAAGUGCUCCAUGCUCCAGCGCCGCCUCCUGCCCAAGCUCUGCUUGCCCCAUGGAGACUGGCUCAGCCCCACGGCCAGCAAUUUGUCACACCACAAAGCAGUGGU